CCCUAAUAUAACCAAAUACCCUCCCACAGUUAAGAGCCAUUCAAACAAGGUACAGCUUGCUUGAACCAGGAUACAACCUACCCCUAAGGGUAACGAGCUCCCGCAAAACAGCCAAGUAGGCCUAAAAGCAGCCACCUUCACAAAUAGCGUCACAGCUUACCCGCUACGCACCCCCAAUAACAAUAAUACCCCCGGAACCCUUAACCCCUAUUGAGCGAUUCUAUACCUGUAUAGAAGUCAUUAUGUUAAAACUAGUAACAAGAGGAUAGCCCCUCUCCUUAAUGCAAGCAUAAAUCAGCAUUGACAAACUACUGAUAAUUAACGUCCCGAGCCCAUAGCAGCAACACACACCAGAAAACCCUACUACAAGCAGCGUUAACCUUACACAAGAGCAUUACAGUGAAAGAUUGAAAGGAGAAGAAGGAACUCGGCAAACCUUAACCCCGCCUGUUUACCAAAAACAUCGCCUCUUGACAAAACAUAAGAGGUCCCGCCUGCCCAGUGACACAGUUUAACGGCCGCGGUAUCUUAACCGUGCGAAGGUAGCGUAAUCACUUGUUCCUUAAAUGGGGACUAGUAUGAAUGGCAUCACGAGGGUUACACUGUCUCCUCCCCCUAAUCAGUGAAACUGAUCUCCCCGUGAAGAAGCGGGGAUAACACUAUAAGACGAGAAGACCCUAUGGAGCUUUAGAUCCGACGGCACAUGUUAACAUACACUUAAUCCCAGGAAACACAACCCAAACUACAUCCCUGCCGCCUACCUUCGGUUGGGGCGACCGCGGAGAACAAAACACCCUCCGCACUGAAAAGACACAGUCUUUAACCAAAAGAUACAUCUUUAAGUACCAAUAAAUUGACACCCAUUGACCCAGUCCACUGAUCAAUGAACCAAGUUACCCUAGGGAUAACAGCGCAAUCCAUUUCAAGAGCCCCUAUCGACAAAUGGGUUUACGACCUCGAUGUUGGAUCAGGGUAUCCCAGUGGUGCAGCCGCUACUAAAGGUUUGUUUGUUCAACAAUUAAAACCCUACGUGAUCUGAG
rnacentral:rRNA from 1 species